CUCGGCGAACGGCUCAGCAACACGUAGUCAACCUGCCCUUAGGUAAGGGAUAAUCUCGGGAAACUGAGGAUAAUACCUUAUAGGAAAAAAGAUCUGGAACGCCUUUUUUCUCAAAGAUUUAUCGCCUAAGGAUGGGACUGCGCAUGAUUAGGCAGUUGGUAGUGUAAAGGACCACCAAACCUAUGAUCAUUACGGGCCAUGAGAGUGGUUGCCCGGAGAGGGGGACUGAGACAAGGCCCCCAGCCCUACGGGGUGCAGCAGUUACGAAACCUUUACAAUGCACGAAAGUGUGAUAAGGGGAUCCCAAGUGUCAUAGCUAUGCUAUGACUGUGGCGAAGUGUAAAAAGCUUCGCAAGAAAGAGGUGGGUAAUACCGGUGCCAGCAGCCGCGGUAAUCCCGGAGCCUCAAGUGGUGACCAUAUUUAUUGGGCCUAAAGCGUCCGUAGCCGGAUUAAUAAGUUUUCGGUGAAAUUGUUUAGCUUAACUAAACAAAUUGCCUUAAAUACUGUUAAUCUAGGGAUAGGGAGAGAUCANGAGUAUGUUAAGG
rnacentral:rRNA from 1 species